CAAAGAGUAGUUUAAUGGAGAAUACUAGCUUUGGGAGUUAGCGGUAGGGGUUGAAAUCCCUUCUUUUUGA
rnacentral:tRNA from 3 species